UUGGCCUUGACAUACUAAGAACUUUCCAGAGAUGGAUUGGUGCCUUCGGGAACUUAGAUACAGGUGCUGCAUGGCUGUCGUCAGCUCGUGUCGUGAGAUGUUGGGUUAAGUCCGCAACGAGCGCAACCCUUUUUCCUUAUUUGCCAGCGGGUCAUGCCGGGAACUUUAAGGAUACUGCCAGUGACAAACUGGAGGAAGGCGGGGACGACGUCAAGUCAUCAUGGCCCUUACGGCCAGGGCUACACACGUGCUACAAUGGUCGGUACAAAGGGUUGCUACCUCGCGAGAGGAUGCUAAUCUCAAAAAGCCGACCGUAGUCCGGAUCGCAGUCUGCAACUCGACUGCGUGAAGUCGGAAUCGCUAGUAAUCGCGGAUCAGAAUGCCGCGGUGAAUACGUUCCCGGGCCUUGUACACACCGCCCGUCACACCAUGGGAGUUUGUUGCACCAGAAGUAGGUAGUCUAACCGCAAGGAGGACGCUUACCACGGUGUGGCCGAUGACUGGGGUGAAGUCGUAACAAGGUAGGCGUAGAUGA
rnacentral:rRNA from 1 species